rnacentral:rRNA from 1 species
AUUGAACGCUGGCGGCAGGCUUAACACAUGCAAGUCGAGCGGUAACAGGGGGAGCUGCUCCCCGCUGACGAGCGGCGGACGGGUGAGUAAUGCAUAGGAAACUGCCCAGUAGUGGGGGAUAGCCCGGGGAAAACCCGGAUUAAUACCGCAUACGCCCUUUGGGGGAAAGCAGGGGAUCUUCGGACCUUGCGCUAUUGGAUGUGCCUAUGUCGGAUUAGCUAGUUGGUGGGGGUAAGAGCCUACCAAGGCGACGAUCCGUAGCUGGUCUGAGAGGAUGAUCAGCCACAUCGGGACUGAGACACGGCCCGAACUCCUACGGGGAGGCAGCAGUGGGGAAUAUUGGACAAUGGGGCAACCCUGAUCCAGCCAUGCCGCGUGUGUGAAGAAGGCUUUCGGGUUGUAAA